AUUGAACGCUGGCGGCAGGCCUAACACAUGCAAGUCGAGCGAGCGGCGGACGGGUGAGUAAUGUAUGGGGACUGCCCGAUAGAGGGGGAUAACUACUGGAAAAGGUGGCUAAUACCGCAUACUAUCGGAUAACCCAUAUGGGAUUAGCUAGUAGGUGGGGUAAAGGCUCACCUAGGCGACGAUCUCUAGCUGGUCUGAGCGGAGGAUCAGCCACACUGGGCCGGGGACACGGCCCAUACUCCUACGGAGGCAGAAGUGGGGAAUAUUGGACAAUGGGCGAAGGCCUGAUGCAGCCAUGCCGGGUGGAUGAAGAGGGCCUUAGGGUGGUAAAGUACUUUCAGCGGGGAGGCGUUACCCGCAGAAGAAGCACCGGCUAACUCCGUGCCAGCAGCCGCGGUAAUAC
rnacentral:rRNA from 1 species